AGUGAACGCUGGCGGCAGGCCUAAUACAUGCAAGUCGAACGGCAGCACAGCAGAGCUUGCUCUGUGGGUGGCGAGUGGCGGACGGGUGAGGAAUACAUGGGAAUCUGCCCAGUCGUGGGGGAUAACGUAGGGAAACUUACGCUAAUACCGCAUGCGCCCUUCGGGGGAAAGCCGGGGACCUUCGGGCCUGGCGCGAUUGGAUGAGCCCAUGUCGGAUUAGCUAGUUGGCGGGGUAAAGGCCCACCAAGGCGACGAUCCGUAGCUGGUCUGAGAGGAGGAUCAGCCACACUGGAACUGAGACACGGUCCAGACUCCUACGGGAGGCAGCAGUAGGGAAUAUUGGACAAUGGGCGCAAGCCUGAUCCAGCCAUGCCGCGUGAGUGAAGAAGGCCCUCGGGUUGUAAAGCUCUUUUGUCCGGAAAGAAAAGCGUUGGGUUAAUACCCUGGCGUCCUGACGGUACCGGAAGAAUAAGCACCGGCUAACUUCGUGCCAGCCGCCGCGGUAA
rnacentral:rRNA from 1 species